CUUUAACCGCUGCUUUGAAAUUGAAUUUUCCGUUGCAAUUCGCUAUUUGGAUUUGAAGGCGGUUUUCAUCUAUUUAUUAUCUAAUUAUAGUGCUUUAUUGUGUGUGAAUGUUUUUGUAAACAAUAUAUUAUAAAAGCAAUCAUUUAGUGUUUACCAGUUUAAACGUGUAAUUGUUUUCUUCGUAUAGUUUGGUUUAUUUGAUAAUAUAAUGGUUUAUAAGUGCUCUGUUCCCGGGUGCAGUACUCGAGGCCGAGACAAAAAUCCUACUCAUUGGCAACCAAAGGGCAAAGUGGGAGUAUAUUGAGAGACUUUAUAAAGUGGAUGGUUUUGGUGGCAGAGCAAGAAGCACCAAACUUACUGAGAAGCACAUAAAUCCAACUUCAUAUGACAAAAUGAAGGUCAAAUUUGCAGCCCAAGUUUUUAGCGGCAAGUGGCUACAUCACUAGAAAUCCAGAUGAAGUCUCUGCUAUCUCUCAAGGAUCAUGAUUACAUAAGUUUAAAUAAAGACAUUGGAAAUGGUUUGUUCACAGCAGAAAUUCUUCUUUUAUAAAUAAUUUCUUUGAUAGUUUAAAUGGUCUUGGUCAUUAUGGGAAUAAGUUAAAACAUGCUCUUUCAUAUAAUUCGGAGCACAUUGGAAUGAUGCUGUGAAAAGCUAGCUUCAAUGCGCUUUGACGCUUCCAAUGAAAGGGAAAGGAAGCCUUUAUCACUGAAGCAUUUUGAACAUAAUAUAAAAACAAUAAAACAUUUGUGGUCAGAUCUGCUGAGAAUUGAUGGUGUUAAAUUUUUAAGUCUUAGACGUCUUAAUCAAGAUCCGAUAGAAAACUUUUUGGUCAAAUAAGGGCACAUGGUAAUUUUAGUACAAAUCCUAAUUGUACUCACUUUGUAUCGGCUUUUAAAACCUUGUUGAUUAACAACAUUACUACCGGUAAAUCUUUAUACACUAAUUGUUCUGAUGAUGAUGACAAAAUGUUGGGAACAUUAAACAUUUAGUCAGCCACCAAAAAUAUGGUUCAUACACUGAUAGUCUUCAAUGUAAUGAAACUAACUUUAUAGAAAUUUCUAUACCUAACGAGAAUAUAUUCCAACAUAU